rnacentral:sRNA from 1 species
GCGGCGCUCUCGGUGACUCUUACACCAAUAGCACCUCCUCCGCAGACUUGAGUUCUAUCACUUCCGUCUCGUCAGCUAGUGCAAGUGCCACCGCUUCCGACUCACUUUCUUCCAGUGACGGUACCGUUUAUUUGCCAUCCACAACAAUUAGCGGUGAUCUCACAGUUACUGGUAAAGUAAUUGCAACCGAGGCCGUGGAAGUCGCUGCCGGUGGUAAGUUGACUUUACUUGACGGUGAAAAAUACGUCUUCUCAUCUGAUCUAAAAGUUCACGGUGAUUUGGUUGUCGAAAAGUCUGAAGCAAGCUACGAAGGUACCGCGUUCGACGUUUCUGGUGAGACUUUUGAAGUUUCCGGUAACUUCAGUGCUGAAGAAACUGGCGCUGUCUCCGCAUCUAUCUAUUCAUUCACACCUAGCUCGUUCAAGAGCAGCGGUGACAUUUCUUUGAGUUUGUCAAAGGCCAAGAAGGGUGAAGUCACCUUUUCUCCAUACUCUAACGCUGGUACCUUUUCUUUGUCAAAUGCUAUUCUCAACGGUGGUUCUGUUUCCGGUUUGUAACGUAGAGACGACGAUGAAGGCUCUGUAAAUAACGGUGAAAUCAACCUAGACAAUGGAAGUACCUAUGUUAUCGUUGAACCAGUUUCUGGAAACGGUACAAUCAACAUCGUCUCUGGUAACCUAUACUUGCACUACCCUGACACCUUUACUGGCCAAACUGUUGUAUUCAAGGGUGAAGGUGUUCUUGCCGUUGACCCAACCGAAACCAACGCCACUCCUAUUCCUGUUGUUGGCUACACCGGUAAGAACCAAAUUGCCAUUACCGCCGACAUCACUGCUCUUUCUUACGACGGUACUACUGGUGUCUUAACUGCAACCCAAGGUAACAGACAAUUCUCUUUUGAAAUUGGUACUGGAUUCUCUAGUUCUGGCUUCAGUGUCUCCGAAGGAAUCUUCGCAGGCGCCUACUCAUAUUACCUAAACUAUGACGGUGUCAUCGCUACAAGCGCCGCAUCCACAUCCGCAUCCACUACCUCUGGUGUUGUCUCUACUGCCACUGGUUCAGUCACUUUAUCCUCUAACGCUUCUACCACCGUCUCUUCUACGAUCUCUUCUAGCGCCCCAGACUCAAUAAUUCCUUCAUCUAGCGCCUCUAUCUCUGGUGUCUCAAACUCCACUACAGCAUCUGGUUCAAUCGCUUCUACUGCUUCCACCGCUUCCACUACUUCUACUGCAUCCGCUGCAUCCGCCACCAGCUUCACCUCAGGUUCCGCUUCUGUCUACACUACUACAUUAACUUACUUGAAUGCCACAAGUACAGUCGUGAUUUCCUGUUCAGAAACAACCGACGCUAGCGGUAACAUUUACACCAUUACCACAACUGUCCCAUGCUCAUCUACCACUGCCACCAUCACAUCUUGUGACGAAAACGGAUGCCAUGUUCCAGCACCAACUGCUACCGACGCAACUGCAACCGUUUCCUCCAAGUCAUACACCACUGUUACCGUUACUCACUGUGACAACAAUGGCUGUAACACCAAGACUGUCACUUCUGAAUGUUCUAAAGAAACUGCAGCAACCACCAUUUCUCCAAAAUCAUACACUACUGUUACCGUUACUCACUGUGACGACAACGGCUGUAACACCAAGACUGUCACUUCCGAGGCUUCCAAACAAACAUCAUUGGCCACUAGCACAGUCACCAAGUCUGCUGCUCCAACUUCUCAUACUGCUGCUUCCAGCACCUUCACUGGUAUUGUCGUUCAAUCCGAAGGUAUGGCUGCUGGUUUGAGAACCAAUGCUUUAAGUACUUUGGCCGGUAUUUUCAUCCUUGCUUUUUUUUAAAAUGAGUGCGUAACCGUACUUUCCUAAAAAUAACUAAGUAGAAAGUAUUUUAAUAUAUAAACGU